GGCAGUACAGAUCCUGUCCACUGUCAUUAGUGGCGGCAUAUUAACUAAUUAAGGGUCUUUUAUGUAUUUAAUAUAACACUUGUAAAGGAAAUAAAGCACAAGACUAAAUGUGAGUUGUUUUGGUGUUGUGUAUUCUUAACUAUAUGUAAUGGAUAGGACAUUUAAACAAAGUAUAUGCACAAUUUGCCAGUAAACACAAUGGCCCCGUUUCAUAAACAAUUCUUAAGUUUUUCGUAAGAAUUCUGCGAUUUUUACGUACGGACGUUCUUACGCCAAUUCCUACGAACGUUUGAUAAACGCGUUCGCAGACUUAAGAAUUCUUACGAAUCUUACUAACGUAAAACCAGUCUGCGCUCUUUAAUUAAAGGUUUUAAAAGACGUAAAACUAACAUUUGGCGCCAUCUGUCAGAUUAUAAUUAACACUACGAGAACUAGUAGAAAAGCAAUAAAACUAAUUGUUAUGUAUACAUUUAUUUUUCUCUUUUAAAAUAAAUAAAUGUGAAGUCGUCAGCAGAAAUGCUUUCAAAUGAGGUCGACGUUUUAUGACGCUAAACGUGUUUUUGUGUGACGUUAAAUAACUGCACUUGAUUAGUUGAAAUUCAUUCAGGUGAACUGAAACAUAUAUAACUUGUGAUCUUGGUGACAAGUUCAGACGAAAAAGGCACUGACCCCUCGGGAAGUUAUCGCUUAUAAUGUAAACAACGUUUUUAAAGUUUGUUGAGUGUAACAAUUGCUUUGUUGUUGAAAUUGAAAUACUCAUUGGGGUUAAACGAGCGUAGAGUAACAAUACGAUGUUGAAAUUUACUGUCAAAGUUGGAUAGAUUUGCGCUGAUUAACAAUGGAACAAACUGCUAUUGAUUGACAUGGAGGAUUUCUAAAUUAAGGAGCUGAUAUUCCACAUCAGGUGAACAGAUACUUCAUGAAUUAUAUGAAUCACCAGGGAAAGGACCCAACUACUUGCACAGAUGCAUCCUGGCGGGUGAAAGAAGGGAUGAUAACUUUGACAACAGAUUGUUCAACUGCUUAAAUGUUGAUGUGGACUCAGUCAAAGAAUUUGCUGUAACUGUGUAUGUCUCUUCACUAUGUGGACAUAAAGUGCUACAGCUGGUUGGAGAUUAAGAUCACAAUGUACUGUUUUAAUGGAGAACAUCUGUGAAUAUUUAUUCUAACAAUGGAAAUUCAAACCUGAAUUAUUAUAAUUAGAAAAAUUGUUCAUGUACAUGCUGGAAUUUUAUUUGAAGUGUAAAACUAAAAUAAUUUAGAAUUAUUUUUAAACACAAACACAGUUUUAUUAUAGAAAUAAUUGUAUAAACUUAAGAGAAAUCAGUGUUUAAGUGAUGCAUUUUAUUUAGUGUUUGACCUAUUUAACACCUUAACUAUGUUUUUUUAUGUUGAAUGUAAUGGUAAUAAAAAAAACCAUAAGCUGACAUCCAAAGGGUUUUAACCUUAAAGGGAAUUGUUCACAGAUUCAGGCAUUUUUUUAAAGUAUGUCAGUAGAAGCCUUAAAUUGCUAGAUUUUAACCUCAAAAUAGAAUUUUAGAAGAGAUAAAAACACCAGAAAAAUAUUGGUAUCCAUGGGGGUCCUUAAAUUAUUUAACCUAUAACACUCGGCCAUCUUGAAUUUUAUAUUUAAGCAUUCAUUUUAUACUGGAUAUAUGUGACCCAUGUGAAAUAACAAAAUUUAACAGAAAAAACAGAAUCAUUAAAAAUUAUCCAAUCAUCACCCUGUUUAAUUGUAUCCAUUACACAUGAUGAAUACUCAUAAAAAAGCUGUAUUUUCAGUUUGAGUCUACAUCAUUAGUGGCAUUUUGCUCCCUGAUUUACAGUACAUGUAUUCUUUUUUAUUUUGUAUCUGUUCCUUAAAUUUGGAAAAUGGUCAGUUUUACUAUCUGUGCACAAUUCCUUUUGAUCUUUAUUCUUAGUUUUGUGAUCAAUGGAAUGCCUAAUACCAUCUCAAUAGUAAAUGAGAUUACGGGUAAGUACUUGUUAAACAAUAAGGCCGUAAAACGUGCAAAGCCCUUCUUUAUUGUAUCUCAAAUUGUGAAAAGCAAUUCUGAGAUUUUUAUGUUUUCUAACAUUUAAUUACUUUUUUGAGUUACUAAUUAUAAGUAAAUGUAAUUUUUGUAAGAUUAAAAUGCAUUGACUUGUUCAAAUAAAAAUAAUAAC